rnacentral:lncRNA from 1 species
AUGUCCUGUUUCAUGUCAUCCAUCUCUUCUCUUAUGUUUCAUAUCAUCAGUCUGUUCUGUUUCAUAUCAUCCAUCCAUUCUCUCCUGUUUCAUGUCAUCCAUCUGUUCUCUUAUUUCAUACCAUCAGUCUGUUCUGUUCCAUAUAAUCUGUCUUUUCUGUUUCAUAUAAUCUGUCUGUUCUGUUUCAUAUCAUCAGUCUGUUCUGUUUCAUAUCAUCAGUCUGUUCUGUUUCAUAUCAUCAGUCUGUUCUGUUUCAUAUCAUCAGUCUGUUCUGUUUCAUAUCAUCAGUCUGUUCUGUUUCAUAUCAUCAGUCUGUUCUGUUGUUUCAUAUCAUCAGUCUGUUUUCUGUUGUUUCAUUUAAUCAGUCUGUUCUGUUUCAUAUCAUCAGUCUGUUCUGUUGUUUUAUAUCAUCAGUCUGUUCUGUUGUUUCAUAUCAUCAGUCUGUUUUCUGUUCUAGACCAGUCUCAGCAUCUGUUUUCUGUUGUUUCAUAUCAUCAGUCUGUUUUCUGUUCUAGACCAGUCCCAGGAAGAGAGAUCCAACUCUGUUGCCGUGGCAGGAGCAGUGAUGGGGGCAGUCCUUGCCCUUUUCCUCAUAGCCGUCUUCACCAUCGUCAUCCUCACAGCACGGAAGACCUCUCCCCCAGCGUACACAGACAAAGUGCUCGCAGGGCUGAGCGGCGCUUUGAGAUGGCCGAGAAAACCCCCGCCAGGCUCAUGCACCAGGAACCCCAAAGCCCCUCCCACCAGCCUCUGUCCUAUCAGGAGUGGGUCUGUCACCAAAAUGGGGCGGAUCGCGUCUACAUCAACCACCGGGAACACUAUGUUUAAAGGGGCAUAUUCUGAUCCUUGGACCUGUUAAUCAAUGACUUACACCACCCCAAACCAACCCCACAGAGGCUCAGGGUGGACAGCCUUUUCAGACACAGCUCAUGAUUUGACCAAGCCUUCCUAAAUGAGAGUCUACUCCACGUUUAAACUCCUUUGAGAGCAGCAGUUACCGCCUGCAAGAAGCAAGACUAAUGAGGCUGAAGCAUAAACUGCUAAGUGUCUCUGAGGAACAACCAACCCAGACACCUCCUCCACUCUCCUCCACUCUCCUCCCCUGAACCACCACACACUUGUUCUGUUCCCAACCACAUCAAGGAACAGGAUAACAGCAGAGGAGGAGGAAGACACAUUGGGACAGUACCACACAAGAAGUUAAAACAGCACACUAAGCUCUUGUGUAGUGUACUGAAAUUGAAUAAUAUGAAAACACUGUGCUCUAUCAUGUAUAGAAGAGAAGUGUAUAACUAUGUCACAGUUGCUAUGGUGAUAUUAUAGUGAUGGCAUAAUCCUGUGUACUGUUAUGCUCUUUAAAUUAGAAUUAGAAAGAAAUUAUUUAAAUACCAGACAUAUCUCUGGCUCUGGUAAACAAGCAGUGUUACCACAGCAUUUACAGUGUAAUAUCAAGCAUUACAUUAAUUAUAGUAGAUAGUAAUCCAGUCAUACUCUAUUGUGUCAUAUGUUCAGAUAAGAUGAAUGUAGGGUAGUUCAGGGGCUUUGAGAAGUCAACUGAAUCAUAGACAAGGGGAAUGAACCAUGUGGACUGUUCUUUUGUCUGUUGAGAAAAGCAUAUUUUUAUUAUUUCAUUGUGUAUAACACAUUUUCCAACUUUUUUGUGCCAUUUUAAUAUUUGAAAGGAGAUGCUCUCAACAGUAGAUAUGCUUUUUUAUUCUAAUUAUUCUGUUCAGUAGAUAAUAGAUGCAGUUUUAAAUAUUAAACUAGGUUUGUUACAAACGGGUCAGUGUUAUUUUUUUAUUUAUUUUUUUACCAUAAUAUUUAUACAGUAGGGAUGGCUAUUGUGUUUGUAUGACAACAUCAUCAUAUAGUCAAAUAAAAUGGCAGUUGCAGCCCUACAGGCAUCUGUUAAGGUCCCGAGCCCCAUAUACUGUGUGUUAAUGAGCUACGCUUGUGUAGCUUUUCUCUCCUGGCCAGGCAGGCUAGGGACCAAGGCUCUAGCUGAGCUCUAAACCACAAAAAGGCCUUUGUUUGUUUCCCUGUCAUUGGUGAAUAAGCUUUCAGGAAUGCAUUAACUAUUGAAAUAUUAAAAUGUCUCAGUUUCCAGGCAAACUCCCUCUUUUUCCGUGGCGGCAGUAGAGCUGCGUGAAUGUUUGAGGGACUAGUUUUACCAGACUAUCCUUAGGGCUGAAUACCAUGGAUUGUGAUGUUAUAUAAACUAACGGUUUGGACAGAAAAAGAAGGU